GGUGCUGCACAACCAACCUGGCAUUCAUCGCCUUCGCACAACACACUCCCGUGGCUCCGGUGGCCUGCCGAAUGCUGACGGGGCACAAGCAUGGUGUAGGUGUGGAGACAAAAAGUCUCGAUUUCGUGUGAGCAUCUUAUCUUCUACCUACACUAAUCUUCUUUGAGACAACUGAAGAAAAUUUGCAGCUCCAAUCCACAAUAAAAUGGCUGAGAGUGACGAAGCAGAGGGUGGCCAAGACCUGGAGGCUCCCGAGGAAGACCUGACUGACGAACGGCAAGCCUUGGAGCACUUUGGUAAAUACCACGAAGCCCGGCGUAGUCUACCUUGGGAGCAGUGGACCUUCAAAGAAAAGGCAAACUUUUACAUGGACCGCAUCUUCCUCGGGCUCUUGGUCCUUUUUUUGAUCAUGUUGCUGGGAGAAUGUGGCUUUAAAAUGUGGUAUGUGACAAACGUGAAGAAGAUUGUAGAGUUUGUGUCAGAUUUGGUGGUCUUUCUGUUCGACUUUCUCUUCGCCCAGCAGAGACAGGAGGAGUUGUUUGAAUUGUAGGUUGUGAUUAGAAGGUGACCACUUGAUUAUAUUAUCACUUUUUUGUGUUUUCUACAUUGUGGUAUUACAAAUACCCAGUAAAGAAUUAUAGCUCCAUCUUAACUGGAGAUACAGCAGUGUAUUCAUGAUUUCUGAACUAUAUUAUUGAUGGUGAAUUAAUGGAAAUAAAUAAUGUGUACAACUAAA